rnacentral:tRNA from 1 species
GCCACCAUAGCUCAGUGGUUAGAGCACUGGUCUUGAAAACCAGGGGUCGUGUGUUCAAUCCUGACUGGUGGCU